CGUUGAAACAUCGGUACCAGUACGAUCACCGAAGUUAAGCAAUGUCGAGCCUGAUCAGUACGUAGAGAGUGCUCACUUGGGAAUACCACGUGCUGUAUG